GUGACGGAACAGAGCGUGUUGAGAUGUUUGUCUGUCAGUAACUCCUCGCUGAUGUUGUGCUUUAUUCUGCAGAGCAUUUGUUUCCCUUGCAGAGGGCCUCAGCGCUGCGCCGCUGAUCUACACAAGAGACAGAGUUCUUUGAGGAAUUCACCACAAGGAUGUUGGAGAACUCUCUCCAUCCAGCUGGGCUGAUCAGCGCUUCCUGGGCCGGGCCCGAUGUGUGUGUCGCCUCAAUGUUUCUGUUUCUUCCAUCAGG